GACGAACGCUGGCGGCGUGCUUAACACAUGCAAGUCGAACGGAAAGGCCCUGCUUUUGUGGGGUGCUCGAGUGGCGAACGGGUGAGUAACACGUGAGUAACCUGCCCUUGACUUUGGGAUAACUUCAGGAAACUGGGGCUAAUACCGGAUAGGAGCUCCUGCUGCAUGGUGGGGGUUGGAAAGUUUCGGCGGUUGGGGAUGGACUCGCGGCUUAUCAGCUUGUUGGAGGGGUAGUGGCUUACCAAGGCUUUGACGGGUAGCCGGCCUGAGAGGGUGACCGGCCACAUUGGGACUGAGAUACGGCCCAGACUCCUACGGGAGGCAGCAGUGGGGAAUAUUGCACAAUGGGCGGAAGCCUGAUGCAGCAACGCCGCGUGCGGGAGGACGGCCUUCGGGUUGUAAACCGCUUUCGCCUGUGACGAAGCGUGAGUGACGGUAAUGGGUAAAGAAGCACCGGCUAACUACGU
rnacentral:rRNA from 1 species